CAGAGGGGGCUAAGCGUUAUUCGGAAUUAUUGGGCGUAAAGGGCGCGUAGGCGGCUUUGCAAGUGACGGGUGAAAUCCCUCGGCUUAACCGAGGAACUGCCUGUCAGACUGUAUGGCUUGAGACCAGGAGAGGUGAGUGGAAUUCCCAGUGUAGCGGUGAAAUGCGUAGAUAUUGGGAGGAACACCAGUGGCGAAGGCGGCUCACUGGACUGGUACUGACGCUGAGGCGCGAAAGCGUGGGGAGCAAACAGGAUUAGAUACCCUGGUAGUCCACGCCGUAAACGAUGAGUGCUUGGUGUAGCGGGUAUCGACCCCUGCUGUGCCGAAGUCAGCACAUUAAGCACUCCGCCUGGGGAGUACGGUCGCAAGACUG
rnacentral:rRNA from 1 species